GAUGAACGCUGACGGCGUGCCUAAUACAUGCAAGUCGAGCGAACGGACGAGAAGCUUGCUUCUCUGAUGUUAGCGGCGGACGGGUGAGUAACACGUGGAUAACCUACCUAUAAGACUGGGAUAACUUCGGGAAACCGGAGCUAAUACCGGAUAAUAUUUUGAACCGCAUGGUUCAAAAGUGAAAGACGGUCUUGCUGUCACUUAUAGAUGGAUCCGCGCUGCAUUAGCUAGUUGGUAAGGUAACGGCUUACCAAGGCAACGAUGCAUAGCCGACCUGAGGGGGUGAUCGGCCACACUGGAACUGAGACACGGUCCAGACUCCUACGGGAGGCAGCAGUAGGGAAUCUUCCGCAAUGGGCGAAAGCCUGACGGAGCAACGCCGCGUGAGUGAUGAAGGUCUUCGGAUCGUAAAACUCUGUUAUUAGGGAAGAACAUAUGUGUAAGUAACUGUGCACAUCUUGACGGUACCUAAUCAGAAAGCCACGGCUAACUACGUG
rnacentral:rRNA from 1 species